AGAGUUUGAUCAUGGCUCAGAUUGAACGCUGGCGGCAGGCCUAACACAUGCAAGUCGAGCGCGGCCCCACCUUCGGGUGGGUGUCCUAGCGGCGAACGGGUGAGUAACACGUGGGCAACCUGCCCCUAGCACUGGGAUAAGCCGGGGAAACCCGGUCUAAUACCAGAUACGACCUCGAAGGGCAUCCCUCGAGGUGGAAAGGGUUUACUGGCUAGGGAUGGGCCCGCGGCCUAUCAGCUUGUUGGUGGGGUAACGGCCUACCAAGGCUUCGACGGGUAGCCGGCCUGAGAGGGCGACCGGCCACACUGGGACUGAGACACGGCCCAGACUCCUACGGGAGGCAGCAGUGGGGAAUAUUGCACAAUGGGCGAAAGCCUGAUGCAGCGACGCCGCGUGAGGGAUGACGGCCUUCGGGUUGUAAACCUCUUUCAGCAGGGACGAAGCGAAAGUGACGGUACCUGCAGAAGAAGCACCGGCCAACUACGUGCCAGCAGCCGCGGUAAUAC
rnacentral:rRNA from 1 species